rnacentral:rRNA from 1 species
CAUGCAAGUCGAACGGUAACAGGUCUUCGGAUGCUGACGAGUGGCGAACGGGUGAGUAAUACAUCGGAACGUGCCCGAUCGUGGGGGAUAACGAGGCGAAAGCUUUGCUAAUACCGCAUACGAUCUACGGAUGAAAGCGGGGGAUCUUCGGACCUCGCGCGGACGGAGCGGCCGAUGGCAGAUUAGGUAGUUGGUGGGAUAAAAGCUUACCAAGCCGACGAUCUGUAGCUGGUCUGAGAGGAUGAUCAGCCACACUGGGACNGAGACACGGCCCAGACUCCUACGGGAGGCAGCAGUGGGGAAUUUUGGACAAUGGGCGAAAGCCUGAUCCAGCCAUGCCGCGUGCAGGAUGAANGCCUUCGGGUUGUAAACUGCUUUUGUACGGAACGAAAAGCCUCUUUCUAAUAAAGAGAAGGUCAUUGACGGU